GAAAUUCUCAUUUUGAAAAAAAUUCAUUUGUAACGGAACACUAAGUGAAUUUUUCUUGGAAAAUGGAAUGAUAUUCUUAAUGAGCAAGUCGGAAUGACAUGUCGCAAUUCAACUUUCCAAUACACAGAAAGCGAAAUCUGGGAAAUGUUAGUCAAGAUGAACAUAUAGGAUAAAACUCCUAUGGAACAAUGUUAUGGUUUCCAAUGCUCAAAUCCU
rnacentral:lncRNA from 1 species